CUAUGGAUUUCACAUGACUGGGAAUACAGAUAUGCAUCUGUUCGUCACAGAUUCCUUAAAAAAAGGUAGGGGCGUGGAUCAGAAAACCAGUCAGUAUCUGGUGUGACCACCAUUUGCCUCAUGCAGCAUUAUGCCUGCCCACACCAUAACCCUACAGCCAACACGAUGCCAUAUACUUGGUCUGUGGUUGUGAGGCCGGUUGGACAUACUGCCAAAUUCUCUAAAACGACAUUGAAGGCGGCUUAUGCAAUUGUCAAUGAUCAAGAAUCCUGCCGAACAGAGAGUGUAUGCUCCACCAAGAAGAAACCAAGGAAGCGUUCGCUCAUUUCCAGGAUGUUUUCAGCUAUAGGCAAA
ensembl:lncRNA